GAAGAAACGAGUGGCGGAAAGAGGGAAAGGGGAAGUCGAUUAAAGUUGGAUCAAACAGGAAAAAUGUUACCCUAAGUGAAAGACGCCACCAUGCAUUUUCCCCCUACCCCAUAUUAGUUAAUUAUCGUGCUUGUGUUCGGGCCGGUGUGUCAAGAAAAUGUGAAGCUGUCAGCCACGAUGCUAACUGCUUAGCUAAAGGCUGUUAAUUAAGUCUACUGGACGUUAGCAUUGGCUAGCAUUGGUUUCCUUAAGUUAGCUUUUGUGACUCGUCGAUAAAGUAAACCACGAACACGACGGUGAGCUUCGACCAUCGAUUCAAGCUGUGUUGGUCCUCCGGGGGAGAUGUUAAAAGGUCAUAUAGCGCCAUUAUUUGCCUCUGCGGAAGACUUGACCUCCAUUGCCGCCUGCAAGUCACCGUUUCUUCAACAUCUCUCCAGGACUGAAACUGAACUGUCUGGCUUGGAGGUCAUCAGCUGAGUGACACAAUGAGACUGACUUGCCCUGCCGAGAGCCUGGCCCUGAGUUUGUGUCUGGCCCAGCACACCUGGGGUACAGCCACAGAUGCAGCCUCCACUGCCGCUACAACAUCCUCCUUGACCCCAGUACGCUGCCCUUGGGAAGCGAUCACUGAACCCGGGGAAUCUAGGUUACAUUGAUAAUGAGCUCUGAAGUUGCCCAUACCCUCCAGAGGCCAGGGAUUAUGGGAAUAUACGCUACGUAGCUACACUAAGCUUCCAGGGGAGAAGGUCAAGGGGAGGCUAGACAAACAAGAAAGUCUAUCUUCUUUCCAUAUGACCCACUUGCCCUUUAUUCAUUCUUUCUCCUAUAGUGUCCUCGCUUAACUUUGAUGUAACCCCACCUGCACUUCCCACUUACGCAGUCUUACACAAAAUCAGUGAAAAACCUACAAUAGAAAUGUAAUCAAAUGUAUUGUUUCAGGAUUGAGUUACUCUAUAUUGAUUCCCGGGAAAGGGGAAGCAAAUGUAACCUAUUUUCUUAUUUUCUGUCAUCUUGAAAAGGUGAAUCAACUCUAUUUCAAAAGUGAAAAUUGAGUUCACUUUCUGUUUACCCUCGACUAUAUUUGGGCUUUCACUUUCAGCUGCUCACUCCUUCCAGUGCUCUCAUCCUGCUCCCCCCUUCAUUUUCCUUUUUCUGCUGCUUUCAGUUAGAUAUCCUGUUUUUGAGAAAUAAGAUACUGUAUUCAAUUUUUUUUUUUUUUUUUUUUAAACUGAAAACUAUUUCCAGUGUAAAGCUGUUUUUUCUAUCAUUUUGGUGAGGAAGGGAAAGGGUCAUCUCUGCUUUCAUGUUUUCCCAACUCUCUGUAGUCUUGCCUCAGUCAGAAGUCACUUCCGCGCUCGCAGCUGGUACAAAAUGCAGCAGGUCAAAUUCUUACUAGAAAAAAGGCAAGCGAUAGUUUUAUCUAUCCGUCCUUCAUGAGCUAACCAACCAAAGCAACAUAUCACUUUGACAGGCAGCAACAAGAAGCACAUAUCAUUUGUAUAUACAGCACACACUUAAAAGGGCUAUAUAUGUGUCAAAUUCUCAUUUUUAAAUAGUAUGUACGUAAAUAGCUAAAUGGAUUCUUAAUGGUGUCACUUUUAUGCUUCUGGCCUUGCUUUUAUACUCUUAACCUUGAUUUUUUUUUUUUUUCCUAAGUGCCUUUAAAGUUUGUUUUGAUAACUGCAACAUAAAUACAGAUAAGCAGUAGUAAUACCAGUGGUUGCAGUAGCAGUAGCAAUGUUAAUGAUACUGUAACAGUAGCAGUACAUGCAGUGGUAUUAGAUAUGCUGUGGCAGUACUUGAACUAAUGAUGUGUUGCUGCUUAUAGUUGCAUCUAGUAGUAUAGCAACAACAGUAAUAGUCUUAGAAGAACUUGUAAUACAGUAGAAGCAGUAGUCAAAGGAGUAGCAUCAUCGGCAGUCAUAGUAACAGAGGCAUUAGUAAGAAGUUAGCAGUAUUUUUCUCUUCUUUCAUAAAUCAAACAGUGUUCUCCACCUGCCUCCUCUCUCCUUCCUUUUCGUCUCAGUCUGAAUAAUGCAGAGUUGAGGUGUGUGGUGGUGGACUCCCCUGUGGAGCUGAGGCCAGGGUAGCAGCUGUCCCUAUCAAGACUCUCCUCAGAGCUGUCACGGCCUGUCUGCUCCUCGGCUAAUCACUUCCUACAGGCCUGCAGCAUGGGACCGCCGCUGCUAAUGUCUUCACCGACUGGGCUGGGAGAGGCUCGCAGGAUGAGCGUGAUGUAGUUUCUUAUGGUGAUGGCUAUUUGCGUCCACAAGUGGGUGUAUGUGUGUGUAUGUGUGUGUAUCUGUGUGUGUGUGUUUGUGUGUGUGUGUAUAUGUGAGAGGGUUGGUGGAGUGCAGGUGUGUUUAGCUAGCGGCUCCACGGGUGUGCAAAUGCCGCGGGUAGUGCAACAUGGGUGACGUUUUAACACACACACACACACACACACACACACACCAUAACCAUGACCAUAACCCCUUUCUUCUCACCUGCCAAAACACAUUUGCCACACAAGGAGUUACUCAUCUGUGUGUAACAAGCUAAUGGCACAGUGUGUCACACACCAGCACACAUGGUCAUAUCAAAGUGGCCAUUUGCAGUGACAAACACUUCUGGCAUGUUCAGCUGAGGUAAAAAUAAAAUCUGGGGAAAUACAUCCUGAGCCAAAUAAAAUGAUUUUCCUAUCCUCCCAGCAGACUUCAAAAAUGUCUCCUUUUUUUUUUUUUUUUUUUGCCUUGUAGAGGAUGUUGUGUUCGCUGGUUCUGUUGCAGUGCAUUCUGUGAGGCCCUGCGAGAUGAUUAAUUAUCAGUCACUCCGGCCACAACAAACUGGUAAUUGGUAAAUACAUUUGCCUUUUGGGGUU